CCGGUUCCGGUUCGGGUUCGGGUUCGGGUUAACAAAGCCAAUAGAUUUGUGUUAGACCGAAAGCAUCAAAUGAGUUCUUGUGCUAAUAUAAUUAUUAGUUCCAAAUUUGAUAGAUUCUGUGAUAAUAUUAAAAAAAUAUUAUUAUUUUUCUUGAAAAUAAUGAUACUUUUUUGUCCCAAAAUUAGAUUAACAUACUGACAAACAAUAAAGGUCAUUAAACAUAAGGCAAAUUAUUUAUUCAAAGCUAAGUUAGGCUAAAACAAUGCGUCUUUUGUUGUGGGAACUUUUUGACUUGAUACAUGCAAGUACAAGUAAAGAUCGUCUUAGAAACAAAGUGAAGACUGCAUCUCACCGUAAACAAUGAUAGAUCUCAGUUAAGGUUCCACCAACUUUUGACUUGCUUUUGGAGAACCCUUCUCCGUUGUUAGGUUGACACUUGCAGACGGAUUAGGAACCGCAAGAACGAUCUGAAACAGCACACGAGAGGGAACACGUUGAUUGCUUGCUUGCUUGUAUCAGUCUACCGAGUUGGUGUACCAAACAAUGCCACAGACCAGGAAGCAGUAUCAGCAGGGAAGCUUGCAGGAAGGCCCGUGUUUACCGGGUUGAGAGGAAGAAUCUUUGAACACACACCCUUGUGAAGCCAAUCACAGCCAAAGAUUCCCAAGCUGUAAAGAAGCUGCAAGUUUCUUCUUCCUUCGCCUUGUGACUUCAAGGUUAGUGCACGGUUUCUGCUGAACCAUCAACCUCUCGUCCAUCUUGAUCGCUCGAUCGGAUGUCAUCGACGUCUGUGAUUGCCUCGAGUUUGCUUGUUAGCCUACUGGCCUCUCCCUUCUGCUAUAAAUUACGAGGCUGCUUCUCCUCUCUGCAAGCAAGUAGUUCUUCUGACACAGUUCAUAGGAGAUGGGAAGAGGUAGGAAGUCGUUUCUUGCCUUCUUCGGCUUCAAGAAGACGCGCUACCAGGGAGAGGAGGCAGCUGAAGCAGAGCAGCCGAGGCCGAGGAAGAAUCGACCAAGCGACGAUGAGGAGCAUGCAGAGUCUGACAUAGACAGGAAGUCCAAAGAAUACAUUGACAGAGUUCGCAAGGAAUUGCGCCUGAUGUAUUCUUCAUCUGGUGAAUAAACCUUGCUACUGUACUUUUCCUGUUCUCAUCAGAGUUUGUAGCCAUGUGUGUUUGCUCGUAUUCUCAUUACGUUGAAGAAGAAAACAUGUUUGUACUUCCAUUAUGUCUUGCUGAAACAAAUAUGCUCUUGUAAUUGUAAAUUAGUUGUUGCCUUUCUGAGUGAUCCAUAUGCGUAAAUGGACACUAAAUGGAAACAUGAUCAAGCAAUUGUUAGUGGUGUUGAAUGGAUUGGAC
rnacentral:lncRNA from 1 species